AUGUAUGGAUUGAUUUCACUUACUGGAUUAGUGUAUAAACUCCAAGAGGAACAAAUAUAUGAUUUUAGACUUUACAAAUAUUUUU